CGCCUAACGCAUGCAAGUCAAACGGAGCUGAGAGGAGCUUGCUUUUCUUAGCUUAGUGGCGAACGGGUGAGUGACGCGUGAGUAGCCUGCCCUGGAGUCGAGGGGAUAACAGUUGGAAACGAGUGCUAAUACCGCAGAAGCCCGCGGUAUCGCAUGGUACUGAGGGAAAAGGAUUUAUUCCCUUCACGAUGGACUCGCCUCUAAUUAGCUAGGUGGUGAGGUAACGGCCCACCAGGGCAACGAUUGGUGGUCGGACUGAGAGGUUGAAUGGCCCACAUUGGGACUGAGACCCGGCCCCGACUCCUUCGGGAGGCAGCCGUGGGGGAUAUUGCACAAUGGGGGAAACCCUGAGGCAGCGACGCCGCGUGGAGGAAGAAGGUUUUCGGAUUGUAAACUCCUGUCGUUAGGGACGAUAAUGACGGUACCUAACAAGAAAGCUCCGGCUAACUACGUGCCAGCAGCCGCGGUAAAACGUAGGGUGCAAGCGUUGUCCGGAAUUACUGGGUGUAAAGGGAGCGCAGGCGGACCGGCAAGUCGGAAGUGAAAUCCAUGGGCUCAACCCGUGAAUUGCUUUCAAAACUGCUGGCCUUGAGUAGUGCAGAGGUAGGUGGAAUUCCCGGUGUAGCGGUGGAAUGCGUAGAUAUCGGGAGGAACACCAGUGGCGACGGCGGCCUUCUGGGCCCCUNCUGNCGCUGNGGCUCGNNNGCGUGGGUCGCCCACAAGAUUCGAUCCCCUGGUNGUCCNUGCCGUNNNCGCCCAUAAAAGGGUGUUGGAGGAUUGACCCCUUCAGUCCCGCAGGUAACCCAAUAAUUAAUUCCACCUGGCGAGUCGGACCGCAAGGUUGAACUUCAAAGAAAUGGCGGGGGCCCGCACAAGCAGUGGAGUAUGUGGUUUAAUUUGAACCAACGCGAAGAACCUUUCCAGGUCCUGACAUCCGACGCAUAGCGCAGAGAUGCAUGAAGUCCUUCGGGACAUCGAGACAGGUGGUGCAUGGUUGUCGUCAGCUUGUGUCGUGAGAUGCUGGGUUAAGUCCCGCAACGAGCGCAACCCUCAUUGCCAGUUUCUUCGCAAGAGGACUCUGGCGAGACUGCCGUUGACAAAACGGAGGAAGGUGGGGAUGACGUCAAAUCAUCAUGCCCCUUAUGACCUGGGCUACACACGUACUCCAAUGGCGUUUAACAAAGAGAAGCAAGACCGCGAGGCGGAGCAAAACUCAGAAACAACGUCUCAGUUCAGAUUGCAGGCUGCAACUUGCCUGCACGAAGUCGGAAAUGCUAGUAAUCGCGGAUCAGCAUGCCGCGGUGAAUACGUUCCCGGCCCUUGCCCACACCGCCCCUC
rnacentral:rRNA from 1 species